rnacentral:tRNA from 1 species
GGGCUUGUAGCUCAACUGUAGAGCAACCAACAGUUUUAAACGUAAACUGCUGCGUAUUUUGUGGGUUAAAGUCCCACCAAGCCCU